UGGUGUAAUGUGACAUGUGCUAAAUUUCU
rnacentral:piRNA from 1 species